AUUGAACGCUGGCGGCAGGCCUAACACAUGCAAGUCGAACGAGUGGCGGACGGGUGAGUAAUGUCUGGGAAACUGCCUGCUGGAGGGGGAUAACUACUGGAAACGGUAGCUAAUACCGCAUACCAUCGGAUGUGCCCAGAUGGGAUUAGCGAGUAGGUGGGGUAAAGGCGCACCUAGGCGACGAUCCCUCGCUGGUCUGAGAGGAGGACAAGCCACACGAGAACUGAGACACGGUCCAGACUCCUACGGGAGGCAGCAGUGGGGAAUAUUGCACAAUGGGCGCAAGCCUGAUACAGCCAUGCCGCGUGUAUGAAGAAGGCCUUCGGGUUGUAAAGUGCUUUCAGCGGGGAGGCGUUACCCGCAGAAGAAGCACCGGCUAACUCCGUGCCAGCAGCCGCGGUAAUUC
rnacentral:rRNA from 1 species